CUACAGAUAAACACUGAAUUCCCUGUUUGUUUGUUUGUUUUAUUCCACUUUUUCCCCUUGUAGCCACGAUGCAAGGAAAAUCACAGUCUGAAAUCCUUCUUGUGACAUUUAGUAAGAUUUCCUCAGCCUGGAGCCUUGGAGAUCUGCCCUCCAACUUCCAAUAUCCACAAAGAUCACAUGAUGACUUUCCUUUGGUGAGAGCUGAAGAAACCUACACUUCGGAGAUGGCCAACCUCACUGUGCUGAUUCCACCUCUGAAUCCUCAACUGGCAGUACUAUGAAUCCUAUGUUCUACAGCUUGGGAAAUACAGGCAUCAAAGAUGAUCUAAGAAAGCAUUCUGACUGUCAGAAGGAGGAACAAAUCUAUAGAAGUGAUUCCAACCAUGGACAGUACCUAAAUCAUGUAGUUACAAAGAAAGAAUAUUCUGCAACCAUGCAUUUGAGCACUCAUAAAAGGUCUGAGGUACACUUCAACAGGUAAGUAAAAACUUUAUAAUCUCCUCUUUUAAUUGAUGUUCUGAUGUUCUUUGCUCUCAUUUCUUUUUCUUUUUCUAUUUUCCCCAUCACUCUGAUUUUCUCCUGUUCUUUCUCCUCCGCUUUUCACUAAUUGAUAACUUUAUGCAGAAACAGGAAUUGACUGAAGGUAUGUCUUCACUUGAGUGUUUAGUUUUUGCCUUACAUUGCCAGUGCCCUCAAGACACCACCAAUUGCUCAUAUUGAAACCAACUAUUUAUUGGACCACAGGAAAAGCUCUUUCAAAUAAUACACUUUACCAUACCAUUAUUUUCCCUUUCUCACCAAAUCC